AGCAGCCGCGGUAAUUCCAGCUCCAAUAGCGUAUAUUAAAGUUGUUGCAGUUAAAAAGCUCGUAGUUGAAUUUCGGGAUCAAUGUUUCGGUCAUGCCGUUGGUAUGUACUGAUAUUAUUGGUUUCUCACCUUCUAAAGAACCGUAAUGCCAUUAAUUUGGUGUCACGGGGAAUUAGGACUGUUACCUUGAAAAAAUUAGAGUGUUUAAAGCAGGCUCACGCUUGAAUACAUUAGCAUGGAAUAAUGAAAUAGGACAUCCGAUUCUAUUUUGUUGGUUUCUAGGAUCGAUGUAAUGAUUAAUAGGGAUAGUUGGGGGCAUUAGUAUUCAAUUGUCAGAGGUGAAAUUCUUGGAUUUAUUGAAGACUAACUACUGCGAAAGCAUUUGCCAAGGAUGUUUUCAUUAAUCAAGAACGAAAGUUAGGGGAUCGAAGACGAUCAGAUACCGUCGUAGUCUUAACCAUAAACUAUGCCGACUAGGGAUCGGAUGAUGUUAAUUUUUUAAUGACUCA
rnacentral:rRNA from 4 species